GAAAAACAACAAGGAGCAGAGAUAUAUGUCAGGUGUAAGGGAUGGAGACAUUUGUGUGACACAGACACACCCACCACGUGCAGGAAUUCCAGCUGUGAAUUCUGCUGCAAUGAAUGUCCGUGAAGAACGGAACACUCCCAAAAGAAAGGCUCAGGGCAAAUGCAGUCAACCACAAGGACUGUGGCA
rnacentral:lncRNA from 12 species